GAUGAAGAACGUAGCGAAAUGCGAUACUUGGUGUGAAUUGCAGAAUCCCGUGAACCAUCGAGUCUUUGAACGCAAGUUGCGCCCGAAGCCGUCAGGCCGAGGGCACGCCUGCCUGGGCGUCACACGCCGUUGCCCCCCCGCGCCCCGCACCCAACGCUUUGGGAGCGACCGCGGGGUGGGCUGAUGAUGGCCUCCCGUGCGCUCCGCCGCGCGGUUGGCCCAAAUACCGAGUCCCGGGCGACGUGCGCCACGACGAUCGGUGGUUGAGAGACCUCUGUCGCAAGUCGUGCGCGCCCGUCGCGUCACGCGGGCUCGCAUAGCGCCUCGCGCCGCACCCGGUGCGGAGCUUUCAACGCGACCCCAGGUCAGGCGGGGUUACCCGCUGAAUUUAAGCAUAUCAAUAAGCGGAGGA
rnacentral:misc_RNA from 1 species